UACGUAGGGGGCAAGCGUUGUCCGGAAUUAUUGGGCGUAAAGGGUGCGUAGGCGGCCUUACAAGUUGGAUGUGAAAUCCCCGUGCUUAACAUGGGAACUGCAUCCAAAACUGUAGGGCUUGAGUGUGGAAGAGGUAAGUGGAAUUCCCAGUGUAGCGGUGAAAUGCGUAGAUAUUGGGAGGAACACCAGUGGCGAAGGCGACUUACUGGGCCACAACUGACGCUGAGGCACGAAAGCGUGGGGAGCAA
rnacentral:rRNA from 1 species